CCGCGGUAGCUCAACGGUAGAGCAAAUCCCUGUUAAGGAUAAGGUUGUAGGCCUGUUCCGUUAA
rnacentral:tRNA from 2 species